rnacentral:lncRNA from 1 species
GCCUUGCAGGGCUUGGCUUUGUAUCCUGUUGGGAUGAUCAUCUCUCCAGUGUGAUGACUAAGGGUUGUGUCCAGUUAGUGCACUAGCAACUGAAGUUAGGAAGGCUCGGGUGGACGCUGCCAACCAGCAAUCCAAUCUGCCUGAUGGCCAACCCUUUGACUGCUGGGAGCCUGGAGCUUUCUGAAUCAGACAACUUCCAGACUUCACAUGUGCUGCCAAGCACAAGAUAUAUUCUGGAAAAGAAGAGGAGGAGGAAGAAGAAUGACUGUAAAGGAAGGAGCAGUACUGUUUUCAUGAGGACCUACUAUGUGCCAGACAUUAUUCUAGGUGCUGGGGCUACCAUGGGAAACUUGCAGCUACUUGGGAGGCUAAGGUGGGAAGAUCGCUUGAGCCCAGGAGGUCGAGGCUGCGGUGAACCAAGAUUGUGACACUGCACUCCAGCCUGGGCAACAGAUGCUGUGUGAAGAUGAAGGCAGAGAUCAGGCUGAUGCUUAUGGAAAGCCAGAGAUUGCCAACAAACCACCAAAAGCUAGGAGAGAGGCCUGGAACAGAUUCUCUCUGAGUCCUCAGAAGGAACCAACCCUGCCAACACUGUGAUCUUGGACUUCUAAACCCCAGAACUGUGAAA